rnacentral:rRNA from 1 species
UAUCCUACGGGGGGCAGCAGUGAGGAAUAUUGGUCAAUGGACGCAAGUCUGAACCAGCCAUGCCGCGUGCAGGAAGACGGCUCUAUGAGUUGUAAACUGCUUUUGUACGAGGGUAAACGCAGAUACGCGUAUCUGUCUGAAAGUAUCGUACGAAUAAGGAUCGGCUAACUCCGUGCCAGCAGCCGCGGUAAUACGGAGGAUGCGAGCGUUAUCCGGAUUUAUUGGGUUUAAAGGGUGCGCAGGCGGGAGAUCAAGUCAGCGGUAAAAUGUCGGGGCUCAACCCCGGCCGGCC